rnacentral:rRNA from 1 species
GAUGAACGCUGGCGGCGUGCCUAAUACAUGCAAGUCGAGCGAACAGACGAGGAGCUUGCUCCUCUGACGUUAGCGGCGGACGGGUGAGUAACACGUGGAUAACCUACCUAUAAGACUGGGAUAACUUCGGGAAACCGGAGCUACUACCGGAUAAUAUAUUGAACCGCAUGAUUCAAUAGUGAAAGACGGUUUUGCUGUCACUUAUAGAUGGAUCCGCGCCGCAUUAGCUAGUUGGUAAGGUAACGGCUUACCAAGGCAACGAUGCGUAGCCGACCUGAGAGGGUGAUCGGCCACACUGGAACUGAGACACGGUCCAGACUCCUACGGGAGGCAGCAGUAGGGAAUCUUCCGCAAUGGGCGAAAGCCUGACGGAGCAACGCCGCGUGAGUGAUGAAGGUCUUCGGAUCGUAAAACUCUGUUAUUAGGGAAGAACAAAUGUGUAAGUAACUAUGCACGUCUUGACGGUACCUAAUCAGAAAGCCACGGCUAACUACGUG